CUGGAGGUAUCAGAAGUGCGAAUGCUGACAUAAGUAACGAUAAAGCGGGUGAAAAGCCCGCUCGCCGGAAGACCAAGGGUUCCUGUCCAACGUUAAUCGGGGCAGGGUGAGUCGACCCCUAAGGCGAGGCCGAAAGGCGUAGUCGAUGGGAAACAGGUUAAUAUUCCUGUACUUGGUGUUACUGCGAAGGGGGGACGGAGAAGGCUAUGUUGGCCGGGCGACGGUUGUCCCGGUUUAAGCGUGUAGGCUGGUUUUCCAGGCAAAUCCGGAAAAUCAAGGCUGAGGCGUGAUGACGAGGCACUACGGUGCUGAAGCAACAAAUGCCCUGCUUCCAGGAAAAGCCUCUAAGCAUCAGGUAACAUCAAAUCGUACCCCAAACCGACACAG
rnacentral:rRNA from 1 species